CUGAUCUGAUCAGUGAGUGAUUCCGACCGGAGGAAAUAUCUAGAUCAAGCAGCAAUGGUAGCUCGAUCAGAAGAAACUUCUAAAAGGAAAGGAAGAAAAAUCGCGUCUAGCUUUCGCCGACGAUGUGAUGCUUAAUAUCGCGCGGUGAUCCAAGCAAAAGGGUUGGACCAAAAUCACACGUUCGAUCCACCGAUCGAUCCCCUCCUCCCCAAACGAACAGAUCGCGAUCGAGCCUCGCUCCUCCUCCACACCGCAUGGACGCCGACGCGCGUCGAAGCCCCUGCCCGCGCUCGUCUUCCCCAAGACCGGCGGAACGCGCCGCCCGAGUUGAUCUGCGCGCCCACGACCUCCCACGCCUCUCCGCCGGCACCUGAAGGACCACACGGACACCGCGAAGCCGCUGGUGCCGUCGCCCCAGAGUUUUCGCCGCCCAGCGUCGACACUGUAGGACUUGUUGACUAAGGCUACAUAUGCAGAGCAAAGCAUGCAUGGGAUUGCUAAUGAGUCAAGAGAAGGACAUCCUGGUGAUGGUGAUUACUACCAUGGUGAUUGUGGCAACGUUGAUCCAAUAAGUCAAAUUAUGAUUUGGGAGCAGAGAUAGGGGUUGGUUUCAAUAGUUAUCCCUUUUGUUUGAAGUUAUUCACAUUAGAAUUGCAACAACCAUAGUAAGUUUAGUUAGUACUUCUUGUGAAAAGAUGUAAUAUUUUGUCAGGAUUAUAAAGUCUAUUUAAGACUUUUAGCCCUGCCCGGCAUGGUAUUGUAAUAAUCAAUGACCUUCUAUAGCUAUUCUCUGCUGCAAAUCUCC